rnacentral:rRNA from 1 species
ACGAACGCUGGCGGCGUGCUUAACACCUGCCAGUCGAACGGAAAGGCCCUGCUUGCAGGGUACUCGAGUGGCGAACGGGUGAGUAACACGUGGGUGAUCUGCCCUGCACUUCGGGAUAAGCCUGGGAAACUGGGUCUAAUACCGGAUAGGAGCCAUUUUUAGUGUGAUGGUUGGAAAGUUUUUUCGGUGUAGGAUGAGCUCGCGGCCUAUCAGCUUGUUGGUGGGGUAAUGGCCUACCAAGGCGGCGACGGGUAGCCGGCCUGAGAGGGUGGACGGCCACAUUGGGACUGAGAUACGGCCCAGACUCCUACGGGAGGCAGCAGUGGGGAAUAUUGCACAAUGGGCGCAAGCCUGAUGCAGCGACGCCGCGUGGGGGAUGACGGCCUUCGGGUUGUAACUCCUUUCGCUAGGGACGAAGCUUUUUGUGACGGUACCUAGAUAAGAAGCACCGGCUAACUACGUG